rnacentral:misc_RNA from 1 species
AAGUGAAAGGUAAGUUUUAUAGAACUAAAGGUAAGUUCUAUAGAACUAUGGCCAGGCCAGCUGUGUUGUAUAAUAAUGAAUGUUGGGUAUCUAAGGUAUAAUAUAACCAUAAGAGGAGUGUGGCAAAAAUGUUGAUAUUAAGAUGAAUAUCUCAUAACAUGAUAAUGGAUAAAAUUAGGAAUGACCGUAUCCGUCAGAGAGUGCAUGUAGCAUACAUUCAGAAUAAAAUGAGAGAGGACUAAUUAAGAUGAUUUGGUUAUGUCCAACAUAGAAUAUUGAAUGCUCCAAUACAAAGGUGUGAUAAGUUAGUGGUUGAAAUAGUGAGAAAGGAAAGGAAGAGACUUAAAAUGAUGUGGAGGGAAGUAGUAUAAAAAGAUUUACAAUUUUUAGAUAU